GCCCACCAGGCACUAUAGAGGUGGCCUGGAUCCUGAGGAUACUAACUUCAUCGAUGAAUUAACCCACUGUUGAGUUCAUAGCAGGACAGACUAUUAAGAGAUUCCUGACUGUGAGCAGCUGAGCCCAAAACUCUGUUGAAACAGAAGCUAGUGGUACAGCCUUAGGCUGACCUUAGAGGUGGGAUCUGAACUUGCUGUUCAGCCAAGACCCAGACCUGAACUUUCAAUCUUCUUGCAGAAGUUGAGGAUGACUAGGAUGUACCAUACCUGGCCUAACCAUAAUCUUACCAUACAACCCAGCAG